GAGUUUGAUCCUGGCUCAGGAUGAACGCUGGCGGCGCAUUUAAGACAUGCAAGUCGAACGGAAAUUUAUUGUAAUAAUUAUCUUAGUUUACUAAGGUAAAAGUCAUAAUAGAUUUUAGUGGCGGACGGGUGAGUAACACACAGGCAAUCUGCCUUUCAGUGGGAAAUAACUAAAAGAAAUUUUAGCUAAUGUCCCAUAAGACCACGCUAUGGCAUCAUAGAGAGGUCAAAGGAGUAAUCCGCUGAAAGAUGAGCCUAUGUCUGAUUAGUUAGUUGGCGUGGUAAUGGCACACCAAGACGAUGAUCAGUAGCCGGGCUGAGAGGCUGAACGGCCACAUUGGGACUGAGAUAC
rnacentral:rRNA from 1 species